rnacentral:tRNA from 1 species
GGAGUUGUGGCUCAGUGAUAGAGUGCUUUCCUUGCAUGUAUGAGGCCCUAGGUUCGAUCCUCAGCACCA